rnacentral:tRNA from 1 species
GCAGUGGUGGUUCAGUGGUAGAAUCCUUGCCUUCCAUGCGGGAGACCUGGGUUCGAUUCCCAGCCAGUGCA